GCACCAGUAGAGUAGUAGUUAACUCACUUCCCUCCCAAUCUUCCACAGGAGGUAGGAAGGAAGGAAGAGACCUGGGUGCAAGUCCCGGCUGGUGCA